GACGACCGCUGGCGGCGUGCUUAACACAUGCAAGUCGAACGAAGUGGCGAACGGGUGAGUAACGCGUAAUCAACCUGCCCUUCAGCGGGGGACAACAGUUGGAAACUACUGCUAAUACCGCAUACUGAAGGAGGGGCUUCCGUCUGAUUAGCUAGGUGGAGGGGUAACGGCCCACCAAGGCGAUGAUCAGUAGGCGGUCUGAGGGGAUGAACAGCCACAUUGGGAAUGAGACACGGCCCAGACUUCUACGGGAGGCAGCAGUGGGGAAUCUUCCGGAAUGGAAGAAAGUCUGACGGAGCAACGGCGUGGGAGUGAUGACGGCCUUCGGGUUGUAAAGCUCUGUUAAUCGGGACGCGGUACCGGAAUAGAAAGCCACGGCUAACUACGUGCCAGCAGCCGCGGUAAUUC
rnacentral:rRNA from 1 species